CUUAAUAGGUCCGAUUGUGGCAGCCAUUUGGAUAUCUUAAUGUUGCUAGAACGUCCGGGGAGCUCAUCUUUGUCCCACUUCCACAGCACGUCGUAAGGUAGCUCAGAGAAUACUUUGACCAGUAUUUGUACCUUCUCUGGAGGUAACAGUGAAGGUUGUACAUU
rnacentral:lncRNA from 1 species